GAUGAAGAACGUAGCGAAAUGCGAUACGUAAUGUGAAUUGCAGAAUUCAGUGAAUCAUCGAAUCUUUGAACGCAUAUUGCGCUCUCUGGUAUUCCGGAGAGCAUGCUUGUUUGAGUAUCAGUAAACACCUCAACUUCCAUAUCUUUUUUGAAAUGGGAGUUGGACUUGAGUGAUCCCAACGCUUUUCCUCACCAAAAAGUGGCGGGUUACUUGAAAUGCAGGUGCAGCUGGAUUUUUCUCUGAGCUAUAAGCAUAUCUAUUUAGUCUGCCUAAAAAACAGAUUAUUACCUUUGCUGCAGCUAACAUAAAGGAGAUUAGUUCUUGUGCUGACUGAUGCAGGAUUCACAAAGACAGGCUUCGGCCGACUUUGUAAACUCGAUCUCAAAUCAAGUAAGACUACCCGCUGAACUUAAGCAUAUCAAUAAGCGGAGGA
rnacentral:misc_RNA from 1 species